rnacentral:rRNA from 1 species
AGAGUUUGAUCAUGGCUCAGAGUGAACGCUGGCGGCAGGCCUAAUACAUGCAAGUCGAACGGCAGCACAGCAGAGCUUGCUCUGUGGGUGGCGAGUGGCGGACGGGUGAGGAAUACGUGGGAAUCUGCCCAGUCGUGGGGGAUAACGUAGGGAAACUUACGCUAAUACCGCAUGCGCCCUUCGGGGGAAAGCCGGGGACCUUCGGGCCUGGCGCGAUUGGAUGAGCCCACGUCGGAUUAGCUAGUUGGCGGGGUAAAGGCCCACCAAGGCGACGAUCCGUAGCUGGGUCUGAGAGGAUGAUCAGCCACACUGGAACUGAGACACGGUCCAGACUCCUACGGGAGGCAGCAGUAGGGAAUAUUGGACAAUGGGCGCAAGCCUGAUCCAGCCAUGCCGCGUGAGUGAAGAAGGCCCUCGGGUUUGUAAAGCUCUUUUGUCCGGAAAGAAAAGCGCCGGGUUAAUACCCUGGUGUCCUGACGGUACCGGAAGAAUAAGCACCGGCUAACUUCGUG